rnacentral:tRNA from 1 species
GCCUGGGUGGCUCAGUUGGUUGAGCGUCUGACUUUGGCUCAGGUCAUGAUCUUGCAGUCCCGUCAGUUCCAACCCCACAUCAGGCU